rnacentral:lncRNA from 1 species
UGGCUGUGCAAGGGAGUUGAACCAGAAAUUAUGUAGUCAAGCGAAGCUUCAGAAAUACUUCUACAACUCUAAUUCCUUGUGGAAUAACUGAAAAAUCUUAUACUGCAUCACCGUGUCACAAGAACAGAACAAAACCAGAAACAUUUCACCAGAACAAUAUAUGACCGUGUGUAUAACUCCAGGCUCUCUUCGAGUACUGGAAGGCCACAGUGAGAUCUCCUUGGAGCCUUCUCUACGCCAAGCUAAACAAGCCUAGUUCCCUCAACCUUUCCUCAUAGGAGAGGUGCUCCAGCCCUCUGAUCAUCUUAGUGGCCCUCCUCUGGACCUGUUCCAAGAGCUCCAUGUCCUUCCUGUACUGGGGGCCCCAGGCCUGGACGCAGUACUCCAGAUGGGGCCUCACAAGAGCUGAGUAGAGGGGGACAAUCACCUCCCUCUCCCUGCUGGCCACCCCUUUUUUAAUGCAGACCACAACACAGUUGGCCUUCUGGGCUGCAAGAACGCCUUCUGUCUCAUGUCCAGCUAAUUAUCCAGCAGGACCCCCAAGUCCUUCUCCACAGGGCUGUUCUCAAGGAGAUCAUCCCCCAGUUUGUAUAAAUACUUGGGAUUGCCCAGACCCAAGUGCAGCACUCUGCACUUGGCCUUAUUGAACCUCAUUAGGUUCUCAUGGGCACACUUCUUCAGCCUGUCCAGGUCCCUCUGGAUGGCUUCCCUUCCUUCCAGUGUAUUG